rnacentral:tRNA from 1 species
GCGAGGGUAGCCAAGCAUGGUCAAAGGCGCAAGGCUCAGAGUCUGUAUGACCAGCUUUUAAGAAACCUUGUCGGUUAGUCCGUUCGGCGGUUCAAAUCCGCCCUCUCGCA